UACGUAGGCAGCAAGCGUUGUUCGGAGUUACUGGGCGUAAAGAGUGCGUAGGUGGUGCCCUAAGUCUGUUGUGAAAUCUCCGGGCUUAACCCGGAAACUGCCAUUGAUACUAUAAGUCUUGAAUUAUCUGGAGGUAAGCGGAAUAUGUCAUGUAGCGGUGAAAUGCUUAGAUAUGACAUAGAACACCAAUUGCGAAGGCAGCUUACUACGGAUAUAUUGACACUGAGGCACGAAAGCGUGGGGAUCAAACAGG
rnacentral:rRNA from 1 species